GUCCCCUUCGUCUAGAGGCUAGGACACCGCCCUUUGCACGGCAGGUAACAGCGGGUUCGAAUCCCGCAUAGGGGACGCCA
rnacentral:tRNA from 1 species